rnacentral:rRNA from 1 species
UUGUGGCCCCAAGUCAGGCUAGGCCCACCCGCCGAGUUUAAGCAUAUAAA